rnacentral:rRNA from 1 species
UACGUAGGGUGCAAGCGUUGUCCGGAAUUAUUGGGCGUAAAGAGCUCGUAGGCGGUUUGUCGCGUCUGCUGUGAAAACCCGAGGCUCAACCUCGGGCCUGCAGUGGGUACGGGCAGCCUAGAGUGCGGUAGGGGAGAUUGGAAUUCCUGGUGUAGCGGUGGAAUGCGCAGAUAUCAGGAGGAACACCAAUGGCGAAGGCAGAUCUCUGGGCCGUAACUGACGCUGAGGAGCGAAAGCAUGGGGAGCGAACAGG